GCUCAGAACGAACGCUGGCGGCAGGCUUAACACAUGCAAGUCGAGCGCCCCGCAAGGGGAGCUGCAGACGGGUGAGUAACGCGUGGGAAUCUACCCAUCUCUACGGAACAACAGUUGGAAACGACUGCUAAUACCGUAUACGCCCUUCGGGGGAAAGAUUUAUCGGAGAUGGAUGAGCCCGCGUUGGAUUAGCUAGUUGGUGGGGUAAAGGCCUACCAAGGCGACGAUCCAUAGCUGGUCUGAGAGGAUGAUCAGCCACACUGGGACUGAGACACGGCCCAGACUCCUACGGGAGGCAGCAGUGGGGAAUAUUGGACAAUGGGCGCAAGCCUGAUCCAGCCAUGCCGCGUGUGUGAUGAAGGCCCUAGGGUUGUAAAGCACUUUCAACGGUGAAGAUAAUGACGGUAACCGUAGAAGAAGCCCCGGCUAACUUCGUGCCAGCAGCCGCGGUAAUACGAAGGGGGCUAGCGUUGUUCGGAAUUACUGGGCGUAAAGCGCACGUAGGCGGAUCGUUAAGUGAGGGGUGAAAUCCCAGGGCUCAACCCUGGAACUGCCUUUCAUACUGGCGAUCUUGAGUUCGAGAGAGGUGAGUGGAAUUCCGAGUGUAGAGGUGAAAUUCGUAGAUAUUCGGAGGAACACCAGUGGCGAAGGCGGCUCACUGGCUC
rnacentral:rRNA from 1 species